CAAUAGCGUAUAUUAUAGUUGUUGCAGUUAAAAAGCUCGUAGUUGGACUUCUGAUGUUGGGAUUCGGUCCACCGCAAGGUGAGCACUGAUGUCCUGAUGUCUUCCUCUCGUAGUUGUUUGGCGCACUUGAUUGGGUGCCGAAUGAAUAUGGGACCUUUACUUUGAAAAAUUAGAGUGUUCAAAGCAGGCAUGUUCGCCUGAAUAUUAGUGCAUGGAAUAAUGGAAGAGGACCUCGGUUCUAUUUUGUUGGUUUUCGGAGCUCGAGGUAAUGAUUAAGAGGGACUGACGGGGGCAUUCGUAUUACGGUGUUAGAGGUGAAAUUCUUGGAUCAUCGUAAGACGAACUACUGCGAAAGCAUUUGCCAAGAAUGUUUUCAUUAGUCAAGAACGAAAGUCGGAGGUUCGAAGACGAUCAGAUACCAU
rnacentral:rRNA from 1 species